rnacentral:rRNA from 1 species
UACGAAGGGGGCUAGCGUUGUUCGGAAUCACUGGGCGUAAAGCGCGCGUAGGCGGAUUGUUAAGUCAGGGGUGAAAUCCUGGAGCUCAACUCCAGAACUGCCUUUGAUACUGGCGAUCUCGAGUCCGGGAGAGGUGAGUGGAACUGCGAGUGUAGAGGUGAAAUUCUUAGAUAUUCGCAAGAACACCAGUGGCGAAGGCGGCGCACUGGCCCGGUACUGACGCUGAGGUGCGAAAGCGUGGGGAGCAAACAGG